GGCCUCCGGGCAGACCUCUGGGUGGUGUUCCUGAGGCUCCCCUCGAAGGCAAAGCUCUGGAGCUGCCUAAACGGGGGAAAGGCGACCAAACGAGUCCCUCUCUACACGUUCGGGCGUCCAGGAGCCUCCGGAUGGCCGGGGAGGAGGCAGUGUCUGCCUCUUCAAGUUCGGGCCGCGCCUAUUACCUGCGACAGGGCUCGUAAUAAGGGACGGCUAUGGCGUGUGAAGCGGCACACCUAGUAGCUCCUACGUGAAGGACCAGACGUAGAAGGAGCGCCUGAGGACCGACCUUGGGGAAUGCCUUGGGAGGACAAGGGUGGACAUAGCGGUUAGCCUUCCCACCUCGCGCCCGGCGAACUGACCCGGCGAGGGGAGUGAGCACGCUUGCGCACUGGCCCUCAGCCGUCAGUAAAAAGCCCGGCGCGAGAUACCGCGCGCGCGCACUCGCUCUCGAAAGGCAAAAAAAAAGUCCUUCCCUCGGGGCCCGCGGUAAUUUAGACCGGAGUUGGCCGGCGAACACGCACAGAUGUCCUUCGCCGCCGCUCCACUCCUUUGGGAGUCUAGCGCUGUGCUGUCCCCGCCUUUCCCCAGGCACGCGUUCUCGGCGUAAGUACCUCGCGCCUAGCGGAGAGGGAGGGAGAAGGUCCGCGGAAAAGAAGGAGGCGGACGGGGCUGGAAGAAAGGGAAAAACCUCCCUCGCGAAGUGAGGAGCGUGGCAGCCGGGUUGGAAUCUGCAGAAAAUAUGCCUCUAUCCCUCACUCCGCUAGGGGCUGCGGAAGUGCUCUGAAGGUUGGCGCGGCGGGGAGGCGACAGGUGGACUACCAUUCCCAUAAGGCGACGCGGUGCUGCGCCUACGCUCCCGCGGCACCUGCGCGCCAGGCGUUUUUCAGUUUGCUGCCGCCUAGGGCGAAACUACAGUUCCCAGGAGGCUCCGCGCGAAGCGGCUUGGAAGUGGGCAGCCUGGAAGUCACUCGGGCCACCGAAGCUGGCGGCGUCUCUAGCGGACAGUGCGGGGUCGGACGCCGGGGUCGUGGGGCCCGCGAGGCGGGCAGCCGGACGCCCAGAGUUUCUGUACCAUUUGGCAUUCCCACCAGCAGUGAAUGAGGGUUCCGGUUGCUCCACCUCCUCAUCAGCAUUUGGUGUUGUCAGUGUUCUGGAUUUGGGGCAUUCUAAAAGCUCUGGCCUGAGAAAGAGGAUAUCUGUCCCCCAACCAUAGUGCAAAGCUUCAGAGCUCCCCUUGGAUUGGACUAGCGCAGAAGCACGAUCUUUGACAUCAGCUCUCCUGGGACCCUCAAGGAACACUAGAGUUCAGAAUGUACUAAGGGGGGCGGUGCAGAACAUGGCGGGCAUCAGCUACACAGAGCUGGCAGCGGGCAGCAGUGGAGGCAUUGCCAGCUCCGAUGGACCCUGACCAGAGUGGGCCUGAGGUGGUAUGGUGGAGCAGCAUGGCACCCCUGCAGUCUGCUGGCCCUCUCCUCCAUCUGCUGUUUGCUUU